UUCAGUUCAGUUUAGAACGUGUGCUUGCACGAGACGGUUCGUUACAUGUUGGCAGCAACGAGUAAUGUGGAAUUAAAAUCAGAUAUUAGAGAAUUUGAGCAGAAGCCAAGCUUUAGUUGGAAAUUAAAAAAUAAAUAAAUUUAAGGAAAUUAUUACUAUUUGUAGUAAAACAGUAAAAGUGAAAUAAAAUGCGCUUAUGCGCUUGGCAGCAGGAAGUCGGCCGCUUAGUUUGUAAAUAUUGUAUAGUCGGUGGCUGCAAAUGUCAUAUACAUGGCAGAAAUGCAGUAGAAAGAAGUGAAGCCACGAAAGUGGUUGGAAAGUGCUGUCUGAGUGCAAUAAGCCAUAAGUGGUUAAGGAUAAAAAUCGAGCCAAAAAGCGCCAGUUUAACUCUGAGUGAGAAUUUUCAUAUCAAUAUGUGUUCAAUGUGUAACGCGCUUGAGUGUUCGCUUUUUUCAAGUAGAAAUUGCAAGCCGCGGGGACGCAACAAGUUUAAAUUAAUGCCUAGAUCCAUCCCUUGACAACCGUUCGCGUCUCAGCUCACGUUUCCAUCACCAAAUCAGCGUCGUCGUCAGCAAUAUCCGUUGUGAUACUGGAAAACAAAACAGAUCCGGAUUGUGCCUCUGCCAGAAUAGCGAAAACAGCGUCAUCAUGAAUUUUAAAAUUUUUCACAUCUGGCCCAUAUGGGAAACGCCUUCUUCAUACCCUGCUUGACAACUACAACAGUCUGGAGCGACCCGUCGUAAACGAAUCCGAUCCACUGCAGCUGAGCUUCGGGCUGACGCUAAUGCAAAUCAUCGAUGUGGCAGACGAGCAAGCUGUUCGCUUGGACACCAGGGUAACGCAUCGCAUAUUAUAGAUAACCACGAGACCUCAAAAGCUCAAAUUAAAGUGCUUGCGUGUCACAUGAUAAAGAAAGCAACAUAUCACAACGGCAAGCUGAUUGACAUCUUCCAACGAAAAGCAUCGGGCGUAAUUUGGGUUUAGUCAUCUGGCUACUCUUAAGUUGAGGCGAGGUGUAAUCCGGUGUGAAAGAGUAAGUUUAUUUCUGACACCUGGAUAUGAAGAAGAAAAGAAGACACAACUGCAAAGAAAUGAAAUUCAUUAAAUUAAUUAUACCAUAAACUUAAAUGUAACUCAAGUCUUAAUAAUAAUAAA